rnacentral:rRNA from 1 species
CAGCCGCCGCGGUAAUACGGAGGGUGCAAGCGUUAAUCGGAAUUACUGGGCGUAAAGCGUGCGUAGGCGGUUCGUUAAGUCUGUUGUGAAAGCCCCGGGCCCAACCUGGGAAUGGCAAUGGAUACUGGCGAGCUAGAGUGUGUCAGAGGAUGGUGGAAUUCCCGGUGUAGCGGUGAAAUGCGUAGAGAUGUGGAGGAACACCAGUGGCGAAGGCGACUCUCUGGUCUGUAACUGACGCUGAGGAGCGAAAGCGUGGGGAGCGAACAGGAUUAGAUACCCCAGUAGUCCCUGUCUCUUAUAC